rnacentral:rRNA from 1 species
AUGAACGCUGGCGGCGUGCCUAAUACAUGCACGUCGCGCGAACAGACGAGGAGCUUGCUCCUCUGACGUUAGCGGCGGACGGGUGAGUAACACGUGGAUAACCUACCUAUAAGACUGGGAUAACUUCGGGAAACCGGAGCUAAUACCGGAUAAUAUAUUGAACCGCAUGGUUCCAUAGUGAAAGACGGUUUUGCUGUCACUUAUAGAUGGAUCCGCGCCGCAUUAGCUAGUUGGUAAGGUAACGGCUUACCAAGGCAACGAUGCGUAGCCGACCUGAGAGGGUGAUCGGCCACACUGGAACUGAGACACGGUCCAGACUCCUACGGGAGGCAGCAGUAGGGAAUCUUCCGCAAUGGGCGAAAGCCUGACGGAGCAACGCCGCGUGAGUGAUGAAGGUCUUCGGAUCGUAAAACUCUGUUAUUAGGGAAGAACAAAUGUGUAAGUAACUAUGCACGUCUUGACGGUACCUAAUCAGAAAGCCACGGGUAACUACG